UACGUAGGGGGCUAGCGUUGUCCGGAUUUAUUGGGCGUAAAGAGCGUGUAGGCGGCCAGGUAGGUCUGGUGUGAAAACUCGAGGCUUAACCUCGAGAUGUCAUCGGAAACCAUUUGGCUAGAGUCCGGAAGAGGAGAGUGGAAUUCCUGGUGUAGCGGUGAAAUGCGCAGAUAUCAGGAAGAACACCAAUGGCGAAAGCAGCUCUCUGGGACGGUACUGACGCUGAGGCACGAAGGUCAGGGGAGCAAACGGG
rnacentral:rRNA from 1 species